CAAUCCUACCACAAGUGUGUGAUCCUAUCUUACCCCAAGAUCUCCAUGCACAGCUAAAGACAAAGGUUAAUGACAUCUGUGGAAAUGAAACACGCCGCACACAACGAGGAAGAAAAUAGUUAUAUGUUACGCUUCAGCAUAGCAGGAAUAUGGACAUUACCACAGAAAAAAAAUAAUAAUAAUAAUACCAUGCUGUAUUGAGAAUGAGCCACUAUCCAUGGUGGUCCCUUUCCAGUAAUGGAUAGAUGGGAGGCUAAAGGCUUUAAUUGCAUCUUAGGAUCAUAUCACAAGGCUGUUUUGGAAAGCUUUCAGCAUUAUUAUAAAUGAUAAUACGGUCAU